UGCCAGCAGCCGCGGUAAUACGGAGGGUGCGAGCGUUAAUCGGAAUUACUGGGCGUAAAGCGCGCGUAGGCGGCUUUGUAAGUCGGAUGUGAAAUCCCCGGGCUUAACCUGGGAACUGCAUUCGAUACUGCAGAACUAGAGUAUGGUAGAGGGAAGUGGAAUUUCCGGUGUAGCGGUGAAAUGCGUAGAUAUCGGAAGGAACACCAGUGGCGAAGGCGGCACCCUGGAUCGUAACUGACGCUGAGGCGCGAAAGCAUGGGUAGCGAACAGGAUUAGAUA
rnacentral:rRNA from 1 species